GAAAACAAAUGAAUUAAAUGAAUCUCAGUGACACGUGGGCACCAGUAUUUAAAAUAUGAGGUCUAACAGGUUUAAGCCCCGCCCCUUUUCUGACACACCUGGAAAAAUCCCGAGGCUGUGAACUCUACGUGCAGAGACUUCAUCUGGAAUACUUUGGAUGCAAGAACUGAUUUAGUCUCCGGUGGUGGAUAAAUGCAGGCCUGGUUCCCGUUCCAGAUCCCAAUCCAGAUUCUGGAUUCUGAGCAUCUGUUGCCAAGUGGACCAGACUGGCCAGCUAAAUCACACAGCCAAUCAAGAAGAAACAUCACAUCCUGUCAACUCCUUCGCAUCUGGAGCUGAACUGGUUCGAUUCCUUGGAUAAAGGGGGAAAACACAUCUUGGAUUUCAUGAACUAUUUUGAACAACUUGUCUGUAUAUUUAGUAAAUAUCAAUACAUUUCACUAGUUUUGCGCCAU